rnacentral:lncRNA from 1 species
GCAAAUCAGAGGCCUACAACCUGCGUGAGGUCAUAGCAUGACUCUGAGGGCAGGUACAUCCACACCUGUUUGAGGAAAAGUGGGAGUGGGAGUGGACCUAAAACACUUUAAAACCUCCUUCCAGGAGCUUUCAGGACCUCUCAGCGUGCGUUAGGGACCCUCAUCUGAAAUCCUGAUCAUUUUUACCUCUCAGGAAACGUCCUCGUGCGAAUUUGAUUUGAGCGAAGUAAUGAGAACAGGUCUCACCUCCAAACAAAGAGAGCGCUGAGGUCACAGAGACUGAGUGCGCUCAGCGGGUGAGAGGAGGUGAACUCUUUAAUAAUCACAGAAGGCUUAAAACGCUGCUGGGCCUCUCUGCGGAUACUGGGCCGGACGCCAUGGCAACCACAGAAAGAAAAGGAGGAGGAGCAGGAGGAGAUUCAACAAGCCAGAGAGGGACCUGAGUCACCAUGGCGACGGUUAUGAGCAUGCUCAACAGUUGAACUUUCAGACCUCUUCAUCCCCUUAAGGGCCUCUGCAGUCUGAUCCAGGAUGAGCCAAGGAGGUUCAAGGCCUUUCAAGGACCCCUGGAACAUCUGAAAAACCAGACUCCUCAAACCCUCACUCUGCUUUGAGCUCACACACUGAAUCACCAUCAGACUUACAGAGGCAGCUCAGGCCUGGAGGACCCUCCAGGACCUCCUAGACCCCCUUGGAGCUCCCCCAGAUCUCCUCAGACCCCCUCAGAGCCCCUCGGAGCCCCCCAGACCUCCUCCUGUCUGCACUCACUCCCUGAUGUUUGUGCCUGAACUCUGAUGGAGAUGGUUUUUUCUCUCAGUCUGAGGUUUUUCAGUUUAACAGAGGAGGAGGAGGAGCAGGGGCAGAAGCAGGAGGAGGAGGAGGAGGAGGUACUCCCUGAUGAAGAGUCUGAGCUGCAGCUGCUCCCUCAGAUGGUGAGCAGGACGUCCAGCAGAGGGAGAUGUUUCCCUGCACCCAGCAGCUGACACAGCUGUGAGGUCACCACAACUGGAGGAGGGUUUAAAGCACACCUGUGCUGAGCCCACACCUGCCUCACACGCUGCACUGACACGCAGAUGUCAUGCGUGUUUGCUGUGAU